GGCACGUUGGGCUGGGCACAUCUCCCAGGGGGCUGGGAGAAGAAGGUGGCCCUGGCUUCGCCAGGGCUUUGGGGAGGAGGCAGGCAUUCUUGUGAGUCCAUUCAUCCGCUCAGCUAUUUCCUGCCCUGCUUCAGCAUGGAGUGCUCCACCUGCUCCUACUUAACCAUUUCCUGUUUACAGGCCUCCUGUGCCUCUGAGCUCCAGGACAGCAGACAGCAGCCCAUGGACCGGCCAGACCUACUGGAAGCUUCAGGGGGAUUCUCAACCUCAGGACUUGACACUUCGGGCUGGAAAUUUCCUAUCGUGGCACCGUCCUGUGCACUCAGAGCCAACCCUAGACGACACAGAACUCCUUCCCCCUGACAGGAUGUUUCUGAGAACUUCUAGAACACCGGUCCUCAAAUAUGAAUGUGCAUCCUGAUGUCGGAAGGCUUGCCUCAGCUCCUGACUCUUGGGUUGCAGCGCCAGGGAUUGUGAUGCAAGGGAGGUGAAGUCCAGGAGCCCACACCUUAAAUACCGGGGUAAAGCCACUUAGGUGCCUGCAGAACCCCUCCUUCAUUUUGAGAUCAGGACUUUAGAGUGAUGGGGAAUAUCGCUAACUGUGAAGAGUUAUGCUGACGUCUGGAAGGGUUGUUUUCCUCUUGUAGCAGGCUCUAAAAUUACAGGCAGUAUUAUGCUAAUUUGGAGGAAGGUUGGAGCUUGUU